rnacentral:rRNA from 1 species
GACGAACGCUGGCGGCGUGCCUAAUACAUGCAAGUCGAACGCUUCUUUCCUCCCGUGUGCUUGCACUCAAUUGGAAAGAGGAGUGGCGGACGGGUGAGUAACACGUGGGUAACCUACCCAUCAGAGGGGGAUAACACUUGGAAACAGGUGCUAAUACCGCAUAACAGUUUAUGCCGCAUGGCAUAAGAGUGAAAGGCGCUUUCGGGUGUCGCUGAUGGAUGGACCCGCGGUGCAUUAGCUAGUUGGUGAGGUAACGGCUCACCAAGGCCACGAUGCAUAGCCGACCUGAGAGGGUGAUCGGCCACACUGGGACUGAGACACGGCCCAGACUCCUACGGGAGGCAGCAGUAGGGAAUCUUCGGCAAUGGACGAAAGUCUGACCGAGCAACGCCGCGUGAGUGAAGAAGGUUUUCGGAUCGUAAAACUCUGUUGUUAGAGAAGAACAAGGACGUUAGUAACUGAACGUCCCCUGACGGUAUCUAACCAGAAAGCCACGGCUAACUACGUG